rnacentral:tRNA from 1 species
GCGGUCAUCGUCUAGUUUGGUCUAGGACACUGGCCUUCCAUGCACUUUCAUGCGAAGAGCACUUUCAUGCGAAGAAAGCCCGUAACCCGGGUUCAAAUCCCGGUGACCGCA